AUUCUUGAUCAUCUUUAAGAACUGACUAAAUUCUCUGCUUCUCUGGUAGGCUUCACUGCAUUCCCCACCUCCGCCACAGUGAGAGUUCUAUCCUGUCUGAGCCCAUUGUACCCAAUGCCUAGCUCUCCUGUGCCCCAUUCUAUUGCAACUGAUCCCUUUGUAAACUUUAAGCCCCUCCUGUUUAGGAAUACUGGUUUGCUGACUGUUUUCCCCAGUAAAUCAUAAUACUCUUAUGAGUAAAAAAGUCAUAGUUCAUCUCUGCCUGGGUUGCCUAGGACAAAUUCUGUUCACCUUAAGUACUUAGUAAGCCUGUUUAAAGGAAAGUUUGUCUUUCGAUGUUAAGGCCAUCACAACAUUUAAAAUCCAUGCAAUCAGAGUUCCCUGGUGGCCUAGUGGUUAAGAAUUUGGCAUUGUCGCUAUUUGGCUCAGGUUUGAUCCCUGGCCAGGGAACUUCUUAAUGGCACGAGCGCAGCCAAAAAAAUAAAAUCUAUGCAACCAAACAGCCUAAGAGGAGCAUCAAAUGUUGGCUCAUGUUCCAAAUUUUCCUGUUACCCACAGCCAUUAUCCUUUUCAAAGAGAAAUAAUGGAUUAAUAACAUAAUCUUUUGAAUUGACAUGAAACUUUCAUUUUCUAUUAAAAAUUUAAGUACAAUGUGUAAAAUGGUUACCUUCUAAAUGCUGUUUCAUAUUCUCUCUCUGCGAAUUUCCCUGUUCCCACACCUCCAAAAACUCAAUCUUUUCCCCCAAAAUGUAAAUCAGCUAAAUUCUAAAAUGAAGAACUGAUCCCCAUUGACUAAGAAAAAUUUAGCCCUUUACGCAGAAAUGGAAAUUCCCUGUUUCCAGAGAUUUACAGUCUAAAUGGACAGAAAUCAUCUGGUAUCAUUUAGUGAGGACCAAGGCAUCCCCCGGCUGUGUUAGGUAGAGAGGCUUAAUUCAGGAUUUCUCAGCUUUGACACCAAUGACACUUUGGGCCAGAGAGUUCUUUUCUUGUGGGGUCAUCCUGUCCAUUGUGAACCAUUUAGCCUUAUGUUUGGCCUCUCCCCACUUCAUGCCGAUAGCAGACUCCCAGUUGUGAUAACUGCGAAUACCUCUAGGUAUUGCCACAUACCCCCCGGGGUAGGGAGGGUGGAACCACCUUCAGCAGAGAACCACUGCCCUGUGUACAUUCGGAAGGCAGAUAACAUCAGGCUUUAGAGCCAGUCCUACAAGCAGCAAACACCAGCUCUGCCUCUGAGGAGCCAUAUGCCCUCCUUAACCCCUUCAAGCUUUAGUUUCUUCCUGAAAAAUGUAAAUGUAAUAGGUGCCAGUAAAACCCAUUCUCAGUCCUGGAGAGACUAAAGGGGAAAAUGAACAUGAAAUGCUUAGCAUAGCACCUGAUAUAUAUUACAAGUUUGUAAUAGCUAAUAUUUAUGACUAUUAGUUACUACCAUACAUCAAGUAUCGAUUUUGCUGGAAUUAAAAUACCACUAUUUGUAAUCUAACAUAAACCCGCAUGCAAUUGGAUUUUUAAAGAGUUCCACACGAGUUGAGGCUCUUAGGGCUUCAAGGUGAACAUCAAGAGCUACUGCUGUACAGCUGAAGAAAGCAUGCAAAAGUAUCAGGCAUAGGAUUAAAGAGGAAGAAAAUUGUUCUAGUUGUAGAAGAGACUCUAAUUGUCUCCUAGUACCUGUGGUCCCUUCUUCCCCAAUGAUAACAACAGCAUCAUAUUUCCCAAACUCCCUCCUAAGUAGGAGGAGGCCGUGUAAAUAAAAGCAAGCCUUGUAGGUACAACUGCUGAGCUGUGUCUUUAAAAGUCUGUUCCUUCUUAUUCUUUAACCAACCUGCUGCUUAGAAUAUGCAUGGCCACCGCAGACACACCAGUGAGACCAAGUCGUAAGAACCACACCCAAGAGAUGAUGAAGCAGAAAGCUGGCAGCAGCCUGGGUCCCACAUAUCUGUAGUGUGGCCCUGCCAUUUCAACUCUGAACUGACUACAUCUUGACUUUAAAGAGAGAAAUGGAUGAAGAAAACGUCUGUCUUACUGAAACCGCUAUGAUUUUGACUUGCUCUUAGUCACAGCCAAACAGAUACAAUGUUUAGCACUGGCUUAAAACUGUAAUACCAAGCAGUCAUCCAGCUAGGGUCCAAAAUUACUAUAUGGCUCAAUAUUUAAUAAAAUUGCCUCUUAGGAUGCCCAGCUCACCCAAAGUGUAGCCCUUGGCCACAUGGCUGAAAAUUCAAGAUAUUGUCCUUGCUCCUUUUAGUAAAGAAGUUUGAGCAAAAUUAGCUCCAACUCAAACUAGCCAGUUGCAGAAAUGGGAGUAAAUAUAGUUAAAUCUGGGGUCGUUUAAGAAUUAAAAAGUGAAUUGUUUCUGUAUCUUAACCAAAUCCUUUUUAAAAAGGAAUUUUAGACAUCGCAGGAAGUAAGUUUGUUUUCAGCCUCCGUCAUGUGAGAGUUUUCUGACAGUGGAAACCAGCCUGGCAGCAAAGAUCAGAUCCAAGGCCUUGCCUUCCUAUCAAGCCUCAUUUUCUAGAUGACCCUGCGGGGAGGGUCAUAGGCUGAACCGUGCUCCCCCAAAUUUACAUGUCGAAGUUCUAUUCCCCAGUAUGUCAGAAUGUGACUAAAUUCAGAGAUAGGACUAAAUUUUAGGAACUAAUUAGGUUAAAAUAAAGUCUUUGGGAUGGGUGCCACUUCAGUAAUGCUAGUGUCCUUAGAAGAAGAUUAGGCUGUGCGCACACAUGCGGAAGACCACGUCAAGACACAGGAAAGAGACCUUGGGCUAGAAGACGAGGAGAGAGGCCCCAGAGGAAAUCAACCUGCUGACACCUUGGUCGUGGACUCCCCGCCUCCAGAAUGGUGAGGAAAUAAACUUCCGUUGUUUAAGCCACCCUCUCUGUGAUGCUUCCUGCGGCAGCCCCGGCAAACUCAUACAGGCAGGCAGAGCGGUAAGCAGCACACAGGGGUCCGUAAGUAGAAGACAGGAUUUAGUUUUUCAAACCAUGAGCACAUGAAUUCUUCAGCUCUGCUUACUCAAUGGGGUACUAAGCAGAAACAAAUAGACCAGACAGUCACUCGUUUGGCAAGGAAAUUGUAUUGCCAAAGAAACCACAAGCCUGGCCUGACAAACCUUGUGAUCAUUCAAGCCCUAAAGCAACCUCUGGAACCCAAACCCUCCACCAGCAGGAAGGAGUCUGAGACAGAGGCCACAGUAUCCAGAGCUGGCCUCAGAUGUGGUCUGGGAGGAUAAUGGCAAAAGAGGUCUCCUCCCAGAAAGUCAGAACCAAGAGGCACCGGAGGCCCUCAGCAGGAGACUUACUCCUUCUCAGUGCUUCUUCACUCUGGUCCAGCAGGAUUUGGCAACUGCUACAGCCUAAUGACUGAGAAGUGUGUGCCUUCUCUCCUUUUCAAAGAGGAGUUUUUACUGUAAUUAUGAUGUUCCUUCUGCUGAUGAGAUGGGACAGGGAACGUAUGGACCUAAAAGAAACUUUCUUCUGACCAUAGAAGGGAUCAAGCAUCACCCAGAGAUCCUGAACCAUGAGCUUACUGCAAUAACGGGACAGGAUUUUGAGUUGACUCCUUUGAGAGCGGGGUGAGUGUCCUCUACCUGCGAAACAGAGAUCCACAGAGCUGUUUACGUUUCCACCUGGACAGAUCAUGGUAGAGCGUGUCGGGUGCCUCUACAUUUAUUUUCCACUUCUUCCUCAUUAUUAGACAUCCACAAUGGUAUCUGGGUCCACGACUGCUCAAACAUUUCUCAGCUUCCCCUACAACUAAGUGCGACUAUGUGAUAAAGUUCUGACCAUGGGAAGUAAGCAGACAUGAUGUAUGUAACUUCUGAGGUGUGUCCUUAAAAGUAGGAAGCCUCCCCCUUCAUAGUUUUUUGUCCUGUUUCAUGGACUUGAACGUAAGGUCGGUGCUUCAUCCACGAGGACGAGAGUCACAUACUCAGUUCACCAUGUGUGGUGAGGUGGAUAGUUGGAAGCAACCUGGGUCCCAGAUGACUGACAAGCCAUACUUUUGACCUCUGUGGCUAUAGUUUUUAUAUCAAAUAGACACACACACACAGUGAAGUUUUGAAGUUAGACGUGAUAUAUAUAUAUAUUACUAAAACCAGUGAUAUUUUGGCAUCCCUAUUAUUCCCAAUAGAACCCAUAACUCAGCUAAUAGACUGAUCUUAUGUUUCCUUUUGUCUGUGGGCCUGAAAAAAUAACAACAGAAUAAGAACUAAAGCAGAAAACUAUCACAUGAUUCUUAAUUCUACUUCCCCUGACCCCUUGAGGAAAUGUGUCAUUCAUACUCUGCCUCUGUGUAUCGCAAAUGAGUCUGAGAAAAGCCAAAGAGACAGAGUAGGAAGCUGAAUCAAAAAUGGGAGAGAUGUGACCAAGGCGGGGUGAAUGGUUGAGAAGCAGACCGCGGUGACUCGCCUCCCUGCACGCUGUCCUCACAGUGAGUCCAAAGAAAGGAUGCUUGAGAAGGACGGAAAAGAAAUUCAGAGAUGCACAUCCUGAAAUGGGCUGUGCCGAUUUUCCCGACCCUCCAGGUCCAUCCGCGUCCACCGAUGAUUUCAAAGUGAAACGAUGACUUCCAUGGAUUUUAAAUGGGAUCCGGAGAUAACGGAAAGGGAAACAGCAUCUUGUUUGAAACGUGCUCCUUGGUGCACACAGGCUCACGCAAGGACCGUGGCUGUCACCCACAUGAUUCGCACUGCCAUUAAUGCGCAUUGAUAAAGUGUUGAUAAAGCCACAGCCACCACAUUCCACCUUUCAGUGAAUCUGCAUUCCUGCACAUUGUUUAGAAACCAUCGUGGGGAUAGCACAGCGAUUUCUGCAGCAAAUAACACGGAUCCUCAUCCACGACAGACUUGCAUAAUCGUUUGCAUAGACCCCGUGAGCCGAAGCAUUUGGAGAAAUAUUGUUUAGUCCAGCAACGUGGUAACAGUCACUGCAUAAAUCACUCCAAGAAGUUAUAUGAAAAAAAGUAGUGACGGGACCGAGCUCAAGCAUAAACUUUUUCCUUCUAAGUGUAAGAAAACCACGUACAUCGAAGCUCCUGCAGUUCUUCAUCAUUUGCUCGGCAGUGGAGCUGAUCAGAAUUCCCUCCGAUGCUCUUCAAGAUGUCCAGGAAGAGGAGUUUAGGAUACGGACAGUCCACUACGCAGGGGUGACCAUGUGAGGACACAGCAAGAAGGUGGCCAAGCCAUCCGCAAACCAAGAAGAGAGGCCUCAGAACAAACCAAGCCUGCGGACACCUGGACCUUGGAUUUCCAGCCUCCAGAACUGUGAGAAAAUACAUUUUGUUUUUGCUUUUGUUUUCAUUUAAGCUACCCACUCUAUACUAUUUUUGUUAUGACAGCCCUAGCAAACUAAUAUACUCACCUUUGGGCAACAAACAAAUAUACCUAUUGAGUAUAAGCUGGACAAUCUUGCUUAACCCUGCACAGUGGCAGGAGAGAGAGGGAGAGGGAGAUACUUGCAUUCGAAGUAAGCUCUAGGUAAUUCCACCGUGUGUUUGAUGCCAAUACAGAAUGAAGGAGUAAAGGUGUCAUAUUAGAGGCAGCCAGGUGUUGGUGUCAGCCAGGACAGUUUGUUUCAACCCUGUUACUUCCCAGUCGUGUGACCUCGAGCCAGUCCUCUCUUUCUGCGCUUGUGUCCUGAUCUGUAAGAUGGGAAUGGUCCCUCCCUGACAGGUCGAGAGGACCUCAGGAGAUACUAAAUAUCCAGAGCUUUACACCAAGUCUAGCACGGAGAAAACAGUAAAGGAAGGCCACUGUUGUCUAUCUUAACAGUCACCCCAGAAGAUCGUAACAGAUCACUGCCAGAAGAUGAGGGUCUAAGCUGCUUAGUGACAAUCAGAUCACGAUCUCAUCUGAGUAUCAGCUUUGGCUCUUCGAACCCUGCUUGCAGCCACGUGUCUAUUAAAGAAGCAAGUAACUGAUGGGGGGAUUGCAUUCAAAGGCCAAUGACGAGUGACAUAUCAUCCAUGUGGAGAAGACUUUCCAGCUGUGUUUCACUGGGAUUAGCCCUACGUUUUUUUAUCUUUACUAGUGUUCAGAAUAAAGGAAUUGGAAAAAAAAGAAAAAACACAUAAAAACAUGGUGAUAAUUAAAACAACAGCAAGUACUAUUUGAAGGGUCUGUCUGUGUCAAGUGGUGUAUAUCAUCUUUUAAUAUAAUCUUCCCAACUCCCCUUUGAACCGUGUGUCAUUGCCAACAUGUGACAAGUGAAGAAACCAAAACUGAAACUCAUAAAGCCAGUAAGUGGUGGAGGCAGGAUUUAAAGCUGGGUGUGUCUGACUCCAAAUGAUUUUCUCUUCCCCUCCCGUAUGCGCAGAGCAAGGGAACGCAAAACAAUAUCUACUAAGAAAAAAUGACUUGGGAACGGAUACGAAGUACGUAGUAUUGUGUUUAAAUGUCGUAAAGUCUGUUAUUGAAAAUAUGGAUUGGGUUUCAUAGAAUCAGUAGAAUCAAAACUAGGAACGGGUGUUCUUGCAGUGGCCCAGUGGGUUAAGGAUCCAGCAUUGCCACAGCUGUGGUGUAGGUCACAGCUCUGGCUUAGAUUCAGUCCCUGGCCAGGAAACGUCCAUAUGCCAAGGGCAGAUCCAAAAAACAAAAACAAAAGCAAAACCUGGGAGUGCAAGUUAUGGGGGCCAGCAUACAGCUCAACAUAGAAUUUCCUAGUAGAAAAGUCAAAAAAUGGAAUAGAUUUCUUCAAGAAUAUUCACAUAAUCGUUUGGCAAGAAAGUUGCAAAAGUUGUCUUCACGUAUUGGCUACAUGGUUGUAAUCAAUGACUUUUGAGGUCCCUCUCAGACCUAAAACCAUCUAUGAAUUUCUCUCUACCUGCCAGGGGUGCACAGGUAAUAGAAGUACGGAGGCCUCCACUUACUGGAGGCCUAAAAUCAGCACUCAGCCUCCAGGCAGACAUGUUUGGUCCCAGUCCCAGGAAAACUGGAGUGCGAGGCAGAGAAGGAGGACUAGCCACCGCACGAAGGAACAUGGCCUGUCCAUUGUUCUGACCGCUGAGCCGUAAAUCAUGGGCAGAGAAAACAAAGCCAGGUCCCGUCUGAAGCAAGACGUCUCGGCGAUAGAUUCAAAUUCCUGUCUCAGCACCGGCAAGCUGUGUGUCUGUGGCCAGGUUUCAUAGUGAAUGCUCUCUAAAUGUUGGUUUACAUUCUUAAUAUUCCUGAGUAUAGAUUUUGUCCUAGGAUGUGGGGCAGAGCCAAAGGUAAUCACAUGCUUACCCUUUCUCAGAGGAUGAUAGGAAUACAGAAGUAAGAACUUCGGUAAACCAGGGAGUCUUCUACUUUUAAACUAGAAAAUACGAAAAAGCUCCGCUUCUGAGAACUGAUACCAACUUAUGGAAGUUUCUGAACUUAAGAAAAGUCUUAAGCCUAAACUGUGGUUGAAGUUUCCUGUCAUGGUUCUUCCCUUACAUGAAAUAGUUUAUGUGAACAGUUCAGUUCAAGACGCACUUACCAGAAAGUUCCCAUUGUGGCUCAGCAGUAAUGAACCUGACUAGUAUCCAUGAGGAUGCAGGUUCAAUCC